CUUCCAGUAGCACCUUAGAGACCAACUAAGUUUGUUAUUGGUAUGAGCUUUUGUGUGCAUGCAAAGCUCAUACCAAUAACAAACUUAGUUGGUCUCUAAGGUGCUACUGGAAG